rnacentral:misc_RNA from 1 species
GUUGCAAAAGAGAAGGAGGG